rnacentral:rRNA from 1 species
UACCAUCCCAGUUCGGAUUGCAGUCCGCAACUCGACUGCAUGAAGCUGGAAUCGCUAGUAAUCGCGGAUCAGAAUGCCGCGGUGAAUACGUUCCCGGGUCUUGUACACACCGCCCGUCACACCAUGGGAGUCGGAUAUGCCCGAAGUCAGUGACCCAACCGCAAGGAGGGAGCUGCCGAAGGUGGAGCCGAUGACUGGGGUGAAGUCGUAACAAGGUACC